GGGCCAGACUCCUACGGGAGGCAGCAGUGGGGAAUAUUGCACAAUGGGGGAAACCCUGAUGCAGCGACGCCGCGUGAGCGAUGAAGUCUUUCGGUGUGUAAAGCUCUAUCAGCAGGGAAGAAGAUGACGGUACCUGACUAAGAAGCCCCGACUAACUACGUGCCAGCAGCCGCGGUAAUACGUAGGGGGCAAGCGUUAUCCGGAUUUACUGGGUGUAAAGGGAGCGUAGACGGUUAUGUAAGUCUGGAGUGAAAGCCCGGGGCCCAACCCCGGGACUGCUUUGGAAACUGUGUAACUGGAGUACAGGAGGGGCAGGCGGAAUUCCUGGUGUAGCGGUGAAAUGCGUAGAUAUCAGGAGGAACACCGGCGGCGAAGGCGGCCUGCUGGACUGAAACUGACGUUGAGGCUCGAAAGCGUGGGGAGCAAACAGGAUUAGAUACCCCUGUA
rnacentral:rRNA from 1 species